GACGAACGCUGGCGGCGUGCCUAAUACAUGCAAGUAGAACGCUGAAGAGAGGAGCUUGCUCUUCUUGGAUGAGUUGCGAACGGGUGAGUAACGCGUAGGUAACCUGCCUUGUAGCGGGGGAUAACUAUUGGAAACGAUAGCUAAUACCGCAUAACAAUGGAUGACCCAUGUCAUUUAUUUGAAAGGGGCAAAUGCUCCACUACAAGAUGGACCUGCGUUGUAUUAGCUAGUAGGUGAGGUAACGGCUCACCUAGGCGACGAUACAUAGCCGACCUGAGAGGGUGAUCGGCCACACUGGGACUGAGACACGGCCCAGACUCCUACGGGAGGCAGCAGUAGGGAAUCUUCGGCAAUGGGGGCAACCCUGACCGAGCAACGCCGCGUGAGUGAAGAAGGUUUUCGGAUCGUAAAGCUCUGUUGUAAGUCAAGAACGAGUGUGAGAGUGGAAAGUUCACACUGUGACGGUAGCUUACCAGAAAGGGACGGCUAACUACGUGCCAGCAGCCGCGGUAAUACGUAGGUCCCGAGCGUUGUCCGGAUUUAUUGGGCGUAAAGCGAGCGCAGGCGGUUUGAUAAGUCUGAAGUUAAAGGCUGUGGCUCAACCAUAGUUCGCUUUGGAAACUGUCAAACUUGAGUGCAGAAGGGGAGAGUGGAAUUCCAUGUGUAGCGGUGAAAUGCGUAGAUAUAUGGAGGAACACCGGUGGCGAAAGCGGCUCUCUGGUCUGUAACUGACGCUGAGGCUCGAAAGCGUGGGGAGCGAACAGGAUUAGAUACCCCGGUAGUCCACGCCGUAAACGAUGAGUGCUAGGUGUUGGAUCCUUUCCGGGAUUCAGUGCCGCAGCUAACGCAUUAAGCACUCCGCCUGGGGAGUACGACCGCAAGGUUGAAACUCAAAGGAAUUGACGGGGGCCCGCACAAGCGGUGGAGCAUGUGGUUUAAUUCGAAGCAACGCGAAGAACCUUACCAGGUCUUGACAUCCCGAUGCUAUUUCUAGAGAUAGAAAGUUACUUCGGUACAUCGGUGACAGGUGGUGCAUGGUUGUCGUCGGCUCGUGUCGUGAGAUGUUGGGUUAAGUCCCGCAACGAGCGCAACCCCUAUUGUUAGUUGCCAUCAUUCAGUUGGGCACUCUAGCGAGACUGCCGGUAAUAAACCGGAGGAAGGUGGGGAUGACGUCAAAUCAUCAUGCCCCUUAUGACCUGGGCUACACACGUGCUACAAUGGUUGGUACAACGAGUUGCGAGUCGGUGACGGCAAGCUAAUCUCUUAAAGCCAAUCUCAGUUCGGAUUGUAGGCUGCAACUCGCCUACAUGAAGUCGGAAUCGCUAGUAAUCGCGGAUCAGCACGCCGCGGUGAAUACGUUCCCGGGCCU
rnacentral:rRNA from 1 species